rnacentral:rRNA from 1 species
AAUAGAUACCCGGGUAGUCCACGCCCUAAACGAUGCGAACUGGAUGUUGGGUUCAACUUGGAACCCAGUAUCGAAGCUAACGCGUUAAGUUCGCCGCCUGGGGAGUACGGUCGCAAGACUGAAACUCAAAGGAAUUGACGGGGGCCCGCACAAGCGGUGGAGUAUGUGGUUUAAUUCGAUGCAACGCGAAGAACCUUACCUGGUCUUGACAUCCACGGAACUUUCCAGAGAUGGAUUGGUGCCUUCGGGAACCGUGAGACAGGUGCUGCAUGGCUGCCGUCAGCUCGUGUCGUGAGAUGUUGGGUUAAGUCCCGCAACGAGCGCAACCCUUGUCCUUAGUUGCCAGCACGUAAUGGUGGGAACUCUAAGGAGACCGCCGGUGACAAACCGGAGGAAGGUGGGGAUGACGUCAAGUCAUCAUGGCCCUUACGACCAGGGCUACACACGUACUACAAUGGUGGGGACAGAGGGCCGCAAUCCCGCGAGGGUGAGCCAAUCCCAGAAACCCCCAUCUCAGUCCGGAUCGGAGUCUGCAACUCGACUCCGUGAA